rnacentral:snRNA from 1 species
UUAUUGUUAUGUAGGGGUUUUUCCCAAGGUGAGGCUCAGCCAUUGCACUCCGGCUGUGUUGGCGCCUGAGAUUUCCCCAAAUGGGGGAAACUCGACUGGAUAACUUGUGGUAGUGAGGGAUUGCUUGCUACCCUGA